rnacentral:ribozyme from 13 species
AAAAAGGAAAGAGAGGGAUAAUUUAAGCUCUCUUUUUCCUCUCUCUCUUUUCUCCCUCUCUUCUUUCUCUCUUUCCUCUUCUGCUUCACUUUUUUUCUCUUCUUCUUCUAGAGACGAUUGUUGAGAAGAAGACAAACAUGAUUGAGACAGAGAAGAAGAGA